GUUUACUAAAUGCAACAUUCUUGCAAAGAAAUGAGAGUGAGAAUCUUACCUUGGUAGAAUCUGAGCUGAAGAACCCUAGAAGCUGCAACACUCUCCACAACAUCAUCAGAAGGUGGGUCUCUGAGUACCACCGACAGAGAAAACAUAACCGAAGCAACCAUAAGAACAGCAAGAAGCACACCCAUCGAUUUCAUGGAGCUCAGACUUGGUUUCACUGCAUCCGCUUCGCUAGACCCGGUUCGAGUGUCUGGGUUGGUCACGGGUUCACCCGCAUCCGAGCUCUUCUUGCCCCGCUUCAUAUGGCGAGACAGAGAGAAAGACGUCAGGUGAAAACCGGGUUGGAUUUUAAAGUGAGUAUUCGGGUUUAGAAGCAAGACUUGAAAACAGAGUUGGUGGUGGAGUGUGGAGUGUGGAGUGACGACAGAGAUCGGAUGAAGUCAUCAUGUGAUGUGUUUCAGAGAACAGAGAUAAACAAUGAGUACGUGGCAGAGACAACGACAACCUUUUGCUACGAUUUUACUGAACAUUACCAUCUAAAAUUGGGACAAGUCUCAUAUACAUGAUAUCUUGCUUAUUUGCGUCAUGAUAAGUACACAACUUAGGUUGAACAUUUGAAUUCACUCCGGCCUUCGCUACCAAUCAAUCAAAAGUGACAUAUAUAUUAUUAAUUAAAAAAUAUUAAAUUAAAUAAAAAAAACUACAAAAAAUAAAAAUGUUAAUUUUAACGAUGCUAACGCUUCUAGUUAAACCCUAAAUCUUAAAUUCUAAACCCUACAUCCUAAAUUCUAAACUCAAAUCCAAACCCUAGACCCUAAACCCAAAUUAUAUACCAUAUACCCUAUACCGUAAACUCUAGACCCUAAACCCAAAUUAUAUACCCUAAAUCCAAAAACUAGGCUAUAAACCAAAAUUCUAUACCUUAAACCCAAGUCCUAGACCAUAAAACCAAACCGUAAACCGUAAACCCAAAUUAUAUACCCUAAACCCAAAACCUUAACCAUAAGUCCAAACGGUAAAUCCUAAACCUAAACCGUAAACCUUAAACUCAAAUUAUAUAUCCUAAACCAAAAACCUUAACCAUAAGUCCAAACGGUAAAUCCUAAACCUAAACCGUAAAUCCUAAACCCAAAACCUAUACCCUAAACCCAAAUCCUAGACCUAAAACCCAAACGGUAAACCCUAAACCCAAACCACAAACUUAUAUGCUAUAGAGUAUGGAUUAAGGUUUACGGUUUGGGUUUACGGUCUAAAACUUGGGUUUAGGGUAUAUGGUUUAGGUCACUACAAGAAAACACACCGAAUUCCGACGGAUCUUCCGACGAGCUCUUCAUGGACACGUAUAGGUAAUAUAUAUGACACUUACAAAUGCAAAGCAAAAUUUGUUUGCCUGUACUUGCUACUUCAUUGUUUCUUCUUCUGCUUUUUUUUGUUUUCGUUUGUUGUUGUUUGCAAGAAUAUUUUAGUUGCAAAAUUCUUUUUUUCCAUAGAUGUUUUUUGUUGUGUUUUCUUCAGUCUAAUAUACUUUGUCAUUGCUCGUGACUACUGUAUUCAAGUCUGACAUAUGAACCUGUUGAAAGAAAGUUAGAGAAUACAUGAUUAGACUGUGGAAUCAGGAUAACCGUUACAUUACAAGUUUGUUAUAAGCACCAAAACCAACAGUUUUAGCUUAAUGUGGUUAAAGCGAGUAACAGUUACGCGCCACCUCCUUACUUUAAACCGUUAAAAUCUAAAUUUUAGACGCAGCCAUAGGUCUACGAUGACGUCUAUCUUACGGCAUCUUUCGUCUGCGACUUCAUCUAGACGAGUGAUCAACAAAUUUGAUUCCUUUCUUCUACUUCAUUACCAUACGAACUCGCUUAAGUCCAAUCACACCUUGAAGCAUUAUCUUGAAUCAGGAGAGCCAAUCAAAGCUCUCUUAAACUUCAAACAACGAUACAGAGAAAGCCCUCGUUUCAUAGACAGUUUCUCUGUCUUGUUCGCCAUUAAAGCUUCAUCGUCAGCUCAUAAAGGUCACUCCUUUAUGGGCCAACAGAUCCACGCUCUUGUAAGGAAACUUGGGUUUCAUAGCAUAAUCCAAAUUCAGACAUCCCUUGUCGGGUUUUACUCAACCGCAGGUGAUAUCUCUAGUGCACGCCAGGUGUUCGACGAAACGCCUGAGAAACAAAACGUAGUCUUGUGGACGGCUAUGAUUACAGCUUACGCUGAGAAUGACAAAAGUGUGCAAGCUCUUGAGAUGUUUCGACAAAUGGAAGCGGAAAGAAUUGAGCUUGAUGAGGUGAUUGUGACGGUGGCUUUAUCGGCUUGUGCUGAUCUUGGUGCGGUGCAGAUGGGAGAACGGAUUUAUUCGCAGAGCAUCAAGAGGAAACGAAGAUUGGGUAUGGAUUUAACUCUGAGAAACUCACUUCUCAACAUGUAUGUAAAAGCUGGGGAUGUUGAGAAAGCGAGGAGAGUCUUUGAUGAAACAGUGAGAAAAGAUGUGACUACUUACACGUCUAUGAUCGUGGGGUAUGCUUUAAACGGUCAAGCUCAAGAAUCAUUGGAACUCUUCAAGAAAAUGAAGAGACAAGAUUCAUCUGUGUCUCCGAACGAUGUGACUUUCAUUGGCGUCUUGAUGGCUUGUAGUCACGGUGGUUUAGUGGAAGAAGGGAAACGACAUUUCAGGAGCAUGGUUGAGGAUUACAAUCUGAAACCUAGAGAAGCUCACUUCGGAUGUAUGGUGGAUUUGCUUUGUCGUUCAGGGCGUUUAAAGGAUGCUCACGAGUUCAUAAAUCAGAUGCCUGUAAAGCCAAACGCGGUGAUUUGGAGAACACUGCUUAGUGCUUGUAGUCUUCAGGGGAAUGUUGAGCUCGGGGAAGAAGCUCAGAGACGGAUCUUUGAGUUGGAUAGUGAUCAUGUCGGAGAUUAUGUUGCGUUGUCGAAUAUCUACGCGGCGAAAGGAAUGUGGGAUGAGAAAGUGAAGAUGAGGGAUCGUGUGAGGAAGAGAAGGGAGCCUGGGAAAAGCUGGAUUGAGAUGGGAAACAAUAUAGCUGAGUUUGUUUCAGGGGGUGGUGAUGAUGAUGGGAAGCUAAUGGUGGGAGAGAUUAGUGAGGUUUUGAGGAGUUUAGUUACUUGUAUGAAAAAUUAUGAUUAUGCGGUGGAGAAUUUUAACUCAAGUUGUUAAGGUAUAAGAUGAGGGAUUCUUUGUAUAUUAAAUCUUUACUAGAGGAAAUUUACUCUUUGUGAGAACUGUUCCAAUUUUUGUGAAAGGUUACAAUUUUUCAUUCUAUGAACAGAGCACCGAACAAAUCAUGUGAAACAGGAAAAGAUGUUUCAAUCGAAGAUCAAAAUGUUUUUUGUACAAUAAAAUAGUUCUGAACACUACGUGUUGUGUUCUUUUUUUUUUUUUUAUGGUUAGUAAUUUAUUCUUGUUCUUUGAUAAUCUCUUGUAGCUGGAGCUUUCACAGUAGCAGUAACUGGUGUUGUGGCAAGCAGAGCUGCCUAGCGUGGAGUCCUAUGUGGGACUGCACUUGUUACUCUCGCUGGAGCUAUUCUCUCUGUUGAAGUGUUGUAAGCUUCUCGUGCCUACUGGUAUUUAUAGCUAUCAGGAUCAAAGGGUCCAUCAUUUAUGGUUAGUCAGACUAACUUAGUCUUAAUAUUCUUCUGAACAAUCUUUCACGUUUUUCAAGUAUAGUAGAUGGGUUUUGAAGUUUUUCUAACUGACUUUAUGGUCGAGAUGGACACAGAUUUUGAGAGAAAAAAUGUUUGGUGGAAGAUAUAAUGACAUAGCUUUGACAUGUUACUGGGGGACCAUCACAGUUAUGGAGUGACAUAAUGGCUUAGUCGUUUGUUUGGUAUUUGUUUUUGUUUUGGAUUCAGGCAGAUUUUGUAGAGCAACUGUUUCGUGGGAGACUAGCAGAUGAACAACUUAUGCCAACAAUGUUGAAUUCACACCACUGGCAGGUUCUGUUAUAAUACUCUCUGCUCUCAUCUUCUUGUGUACAGAUAGAAACUCCAUUAUUGAGAGGACAUUAAAACGUAUCUAUAUCAUAUGAACAUGACUGCAGACUUUCAAGUAUUUGAAGGGAAUUUUAUAUUGUUACGCUCAUGUAUUCCUGUGUUCACUCAAUGUUCUGCAAUCUCCUCUAGUUUUAAGACUGUUUACGCAUUAAACGUACUGCUGUUUUCUCAGAUGUAAGCAGAGUCUUAUCAGGUGACUCGUUAAGGAACCUACCAUGCUAUUUCAUGUCAAGUGAGAUGACCAAGAGGCAUAUCAUUCACUGCACAAUCUGUCUGCAGGUUUCCAUUCGUUAAUACCAACUGAUCAAACUUCUUAUCAUGGCCCUUUGUUCAUCUCACACUCUUUGAAUUUAACAGUACUUGAAGGCAGGUGAAAUCAUACAAGCUAACCGAGAUGUGAUCACACCUUUCACCUGUUGUGUAAUGGUUCAGCAGACAGGCCGUUAGAGAUUGAAACACCAUUGUUGCCGACCAGUGUACAUAGCUAAAACUCAAUGUCCUUAUGUGUUGUUGUAAGUCUCUUGAACCAUUAUUUCAAUCUCUAUUUAUUAAUAUAGCAACUUUAGCAUCUCCAUAAGGUUUCUACUUUUGAAUGUAUACUAUUGUAGACAUGAAUAAUAAUAAUAACACCUACAGAUAUGUUGGAAAAAAUAUAGAACUUGAUCAAGUUAUGCAUUCAUACAUUUAGUUAAACUCUUAACGUUCCUUACGUUUCUAUUGGGAAACUCAGAGACUCUUGACCUCACAACACCUACUACUCAUCUCCUAAUGUUUACAGCCAUGGGACCUUGGCGUUUGGGAGCAGGGCUCCAUUGACCUUGCUCUCGUACAAAAAGAGUCAUGAUCAGUCCCGUUCAAUACCCAUGGCUUCAACCCUCCAAGACCAUGAGCUACCUCCACAAGCGAGGACCAAGGGCUUGUGACCAUCAGCACAUCAGAACAACUUAGAAGGUAAAUCUCAGUCCACUCUCUCCUGCUCUCCAUGUUCCUCUGAGUUUUCUGGUAUUCCUUGCGGCUAGGCCUGUGAACACUGAGUAUCUCUCCUGUCACCGUCGGGUUUUCCCAGUACACGUCUCUGAUACUCUCAAAGUACCCUGGAGAAGAAGAAGAUGAGAUGAACACUGCCUUUGAUUUUCGGCUUAUAACUUGGCUUGAAGGGAGAUGUCUCUCUUUGUCUACUUCAGGAAGCAGCUCAUGUCUAACCCCACAAGCUAGAAUCUGUUCUACCAAACGCUGAAACUGAUCAUUGCUAGCAUCAGAGACCUCAAUAUGGAUUCCUAUUCUUUUAUCAGCUCUAGCAAGAUAAGCGUGAUAGUAUCGUGUGAUGAGACCCCAGACUACAUUAGUUGGGUGAAAGAGACGCUGACCCAAGAAGUAAAAAACCGUUUCUUUAACCGGGAAGAGCUUUUCAAGUUCCUGCUCAAAUGAAGAGAUGGAGAAGAGAGAGGGGACAAAGUAACCAUCUGCUCUCAUGAUCAACCACGGUGUUUCGUUAAACAAAGCUUGACUCUCCAGCUUUUGUUGGUCACUGGAAUCAAGAACAAGAUGGCGAAGAAGAGACUGUUGUUCAUUGAGCGGAAACUCUGAGGGAAGAAACCAAGAAGUGCAUGGAAACGGCUCGCAGAAAAGAUCAGCCAUUUCAGCUCCUUGUUCCACUAGUAAAACCCUGUUGGUUAAGAGAGCAUAAAGAAAAGCUGAAGCUAGACUGAGCAUUCUACUUCCAAGCUCGCCGUCAGAGUGCAACCAUAUCACAUAACUACAACCAGAGGUUCCACCAUCAGACCGAUCUCCCAACUUGAGUUUGUCAAAUGUUGAGCUAUAGAAAGUAGUAAACGGUCCACACCGUCUAUGAAGAUCUUGGUAUCUAUUGAAUCUAGAUUCCAGGUAAGAAGAUUGCUUAAAAGGCGACUCCUUUCGAUAUAAACUCGCCUCAUACCUGCUCAAGCAUGAUUCUUUAUCGAAACCAGGGACAAGAUGGUCCUUCUUCUUGCUUAACCCACCGUCUGAUUCAUUGGCUGAAACCCAGAAAAGCAACCAAAGAGUGUUUACUAAAUGCAACAUUCUUGCAAAGAAAUGAGAGUGAGAAUCUUACCUUGGUAGAAUCUGAGCUGAAGAACCCUAGAAGCUGCAACACUCUCCACAACAUCAUCAGAAGGUGGGUCUCUGAGUACCACCGACAGAGAAAACAUAACCGAAGCAACCAUAAGAACAGCAAGAAGCAGACCCAUCGAUUUCAUGGAGCUCAGACUUGGUUUCACUGCAUCCG
rnacentral:lncRNA from 1 species